rnacentral:rRNA from 1 species
UACAGAGGGUGCGAGCGUUAAUCGGAAUUACUGGGCGUAAAGCGCGCGUAGGCGGCUUUGCAAGUCGAGUGCGAAAUCCCCAGGCUUAACCUGGGAACUGCAUUCGAGACUGCAUGGCUAGAGUAUGGGAGAGGGAAGUGGAAUUUCAGGUGUAGCGGUGAAAUGCGUAGAUAUCUGAAGGAACAUCAGUGGCGAAAGCGACUUCCUGGACCAAUACUGACGCUCAUGUGCGAAAGCGUGGGGAGCAAACAGG